rnacentral:rRNA from 1 species
AUGGCCGUCGUCAGUUCGUACUGUGAAGCAUCCUGUUAAGUCAGGCAACGAGCGAGACCCACGUCCACAGUUGCCAGCAUACCCUCCGGGGUGAUGGGUACACUGUGGAGACCGCCGCUGCUAAAGCGGAGGAAGGAAUGGGCAACGGUAGGUCAGUAUGCCCCCGAAUCUCCCGGGCUACACGCGGGCUACAAUGGUUGGUACAAUGGGCAUCUACCCGAAAGGGGAAGGAAAUCUCUUAAAGCCAAUCGUAGUUCGGAUUGAGGGCUGCAACUCGCCCUCAUGAAGCUGGAAUCCGUAGUAAUCGCGUUUCAACAGAACGCGGUGAAUACGUCCCUGCUCCUU